AUGUGGGGUCCCUAUAAUCAAAAAGAAAACCGAGAAGGAACUAGAGCUUUGUGUCUUGAUUCUUCAUACUUUGAGUAUCUUGAUUUUGUCAGUCAUGAUCCCCACUUUAAUAUUUUGGGAACUAAACCUGAGAUGCAGUUGACAGUGAUGAUUAGUUCCCUAUAUGUAUGUUGUCAACAAUACCAAAAUAUGAAUAAGGGCAUGACUGCACUUUCAUACAUCUCCAACGUAUCUAUAAUAUUUUACUGUCCCAUGCUAUUAUAUUACCAAUCUUGGAUGUUUUAUAUACAUUUACAAGAAACUUUAUAUCAUUUUUUGGGACUAACCUAUUAA
rnacentral:rRNA from 1 species